GCUGUGGCUCAGUGGUAAAACAUGUGCUUGGAAUGCAGAAAGUCCUAGGUUCAGUCCUCAGCAUCUCCA
rnacentral:tRNA from 1 species